rnacentral:rRNA from 1 species
UACAGAGGGGGCGAGCGUUAUUCGGAAUUAUUGGGCGUAAAGGGCGCGUAGGCGGCUUUGCAAGUGACGGGUGAAAGCCCUCGGCUUACCGAGGAACUGCCUGUCAGACUGUGAGGCUUGAGACCGGGAGAGGUGAGUGGAAUUCCCAGUGUAGCGGUGAAAUGCGUAGAUAUUGGGAGGAACACCAGUGGCGAAAGCGCCUCUACUGGCCAAGGCUGACACUGAGGGAUGAAAGCUGGGGAGCGAAUGGG